UAAGUACUUUCGCUUGCAGAGAGAAAUCACAGUGGUCAAAAGUUAAAGUCUCUUUCCUCUGUGAUUCUCUGUGCAAGUGGAAGAGCUUG
rfam:Arabidopsis lyrata subsp. lyrata unplaced genomic scaffold ARALYscaffold_3, whole genome shotgun sequence.